AUGUGGAAAACAGAACCCCGGGAAUGUGGGACGCGGAACCCGGGGCAUGUGGGACGGGGAACCCGGGGCAUGUGGGACGGAAACCCGGGGAAUGUGGCAAGGGGAACCUCGGGAAUGAGGGACGGGGAACCCGGGGAAUGUGGGAAGCGGAACCCGUGGAACAUGGGAUGGAGAUCCCGGGGAACAGGGGAAUGUGGGACGGGGAACCCGGGGCAUGUGGGACGGGAACCUGGGGAAUCCGGGAAGGGGAACCCGGGGAAUGAGGGACAGGGAGCCCCGGGAAUGCGGGACGGGAACCCGGGGCAUGUGGGACGCGGAACCCUGGGAAUGUGGGACGGGGAACCCGGGGCAUGUAGGAAGGGGGACCCGGGAAAUGUGGAACAUGGAACCCCAGGAACGUGGGACAGAAAACCCGGGGAACACGGGAAGGGGAACCCCGGGAAUGUGGGACGCGGAACCCGGGGAAUGUGGGACAGGGUACCAGGGGCAUGUGGGUCGGGGAACCCGGGAAUGUGGAACGGAGAACGCGGGGAAUGCGGGAAGGGGAGUCCCGGAAACAUGGGAUACGAAACCCGGGGAAUCUGGGACGGGAAACCCGGGGACUUUGGGACACGGAACCCGGAGAAUGCGGGAAGGGAAACCCCAGGAAUGUGCGAUGCGGGACCCGGGGAUGUGACCUGCUUGUCAGGUAUUUCUGCUCGCCAAAGGCAGCAGCAACAGCCCUUCCUCCUACCGUAUUGGUGGAGGGCCGCCUGUCUGUCAUUCCGGAGCUCACUUUGGGGCCGAUAUUGGGGCUCAGAACAAUCUCGGUGUCAUUUAUUUAUUUUUUGAGGCAGAGUCUCGCACUGUCACCCAGGCUGGAGUGCAAUGGCGCCAUCUCAGCUCACUGCAACCUCCACCUCCUGGGUUCAAGCGAUUCUCCUGCCUCAGUCCCCCGAGUAGGUAGAACACAGGUGCCCGCCACCACGUCAGGCUAAUUUUUGUAUUUUUAGUAGAGAUGGGGUUUCUCCGUGUUUUCCAGGCUGGGCUCGAACUCCCGACCUCAGGCGAUUCUCCCCUUUCAGCCUCCCAAAGUGCUGGAAUGACAGGCCUGAGUCUCCGCGCCCGACCACAAUCUCUGUUUUAAAUAAUGAAGGGGAGCAGAUCAGAUCCAGAACAACCCCACCCAACGGAAAUGACAGCUACUUUCUAAAGCAUUUAGAUGUUACAAACCAAGUUCAUGCACUUAAUAGAAAUUGAGCAUCAUCAUCACGUAAGAAACCUCAGAAAGGUUAUCUUACCAACUGCAAUUGAUAGGAGAGUUGUUCUUCCUAUAAAAGCACCUAGAUAUUAAAAAAAGGUUUUGAGAGCAUCGCUCAUAUUUUUUGUAUUUUUAGUAGAGACAGCGUUUCUACUAAUUUUCGUAUUUUUAGUAGAGAUGGGGUUUCACCAUGUUGGUUAGGCUGGUCUAGAACUCCUGACCUCAGGCGAUCUGCCCGCCUCAGCUUCCCAAAGUGCUGGGAUUAAUGCCUGGGCCACCGCGCCCGGCCACUUCCACCAUUUUUUUUUUUUUUUUUUUUUUUUUGAGACAUGAAACCCACAUUGCUUUUCGUUUCCUGGUCUCUUCUUUGGCUUCUCCAGUCUGAUUAUGUAAAAUGAAUCCUGACCGGCCAGCAGGCCUUUAAUUCUAUCAUUCUGUUUAAUGUUUACCCAAAGGGUUGACACAGUUGAGAAUCAGGCUUUCACACGACUCUCUCCUAGACCAGCAAAAUCAGUAUCAAGAGGGAAAGCGUUUGCCGCAGAGAUGCUCGGCAUUCUCAGGCCAUACCCCACAUCUGCUGAACCCAAAUUUUGGAGAGCAGGGGUUGAUGAAGAGACAGUCUUCAGGGAAUUCUGAUGCUAAAAUGUGAGAAACUCUUGAAUUUAAAAUAUGCCACUUACUUUUUGUAUGAAAGAUGUGGUUGUUGGCUUUCACCUGAUAAAAUCACUGCCAGUAAUUAGUGUUAAUUGCCAAAAUUGAUUUCCUGGCUUGGAAAAUUAGCAUUCCUGUGAACGAAUAAAUCACAGUAUUGUCACGUAUUCCA
rnacentral:lncRNA from 13 species